rnacentral:lncRNA from 1 species
ACCCUUUUUCGGCAAGUCCUAUACAUUACAAAUAUAAGUGGUCGACAUCGAGGGAGAAAGGUUCGAGGCUAGGGUUAGAGUUCGACUCACUCGACGUUGACUGUGAGAGCGAGGGCGGUGCGCUUGCGGGCUUGAGGGGAGCGGACGUAGUAGGCGAGGUCGUUGUCGAGAACGCCAUUUGCCGUGCCCACAGGCUUCUCGGGCAACGAUUCUUAGAAAAUAGAAACUAAUGAGAGGGAAGUCGAAGUAGCGACGUUACAAAGAAGGAAUUAUGAGAUGGGAAGUCGAAGAGACAUACGUUAUGAAAAAAAAAUAAUAAGACGGGAAGCCGAAGAGGUAAACGUUACAGGGAAGGAAAGCCGAAGAGACUGCUUAGCCAUUUGGUUCAAAAGAGAGGCAAGUGAGAGUGAAAGAUAGGCUGCCACAUGGUAAGAUUAGGGAAAAUAAUGUUAAGGUAUAUAUAUAUAUAUAUAGGCUAGGGCUACUAUCCUAUUAAUAGGAUAGUAGCACUUGUCCUAUCAAAUUAUUCUUGAUGAUAGAGAUUCCGAAUCGAUGAUCGGAACCGUUGAAGUUGAUCUAGAGUAUUUGAAAUAUCUAGAAACUAAAUUUCAUAAAUUUUAAAAAUUAUUUACAUGGUGAUCAAAGUGUCGUAAAAUCGACAAUUUUUGACGGCCUAUAUGAGCCGUUUGCUUGUUUAACGGUGUAGAGUAAUCCAAAUUGCUUGAAUUUUUGAUAGAAAAUUUUUUAUACUAUUUAGAUAAUGUUUGAUAACUCUGAUUAUGAAUUGAGAAAGUCUAACCUCUAUUUUAAGAAGGUUAUUCAUUUAUGACCGUUCAUUUUUCAACUCUUAAGAUGAACUUGAUAAUAAUUUU